GACAGAGGAUGCAAGCGUUAUCCGGAAUCAUUGGGCGUAAAGAGCGCGUAGGCGGCCAGAUAAGUCCGGUGUGAAAGUCAAAGGCUCAACCUUUGAAUGCCGCUGGAAACUGUCUGGCUAGAGUCCGGGAGGGGCGAGUGGAAUUCCUGGUGUAGCGGUGAAAUGCGCAGAUAUCAGGAGGAACACCGGUGGCGAAGGCGGGUCUCUGGGCCAUAACUGACGCUGAGGAGCGAAAGCGUGGGGAGCGAACAGG
rnacentral:rRNA from 1 species